GUUUUAUUUUAGCUUAAAUUUUUGUUAUUAAUUUAUUUUAUAUGUAAAUUUUUGUGUGAAUAAAUAAUUAUUUAAAUAAUAAUUAUUUUAAAUAUAUUCGCAGUAAUUAAUAUUAUUGAUUAAAGAAAUUUAGAAAUAGUAAUAUUAAAUAGUAUUGGUUAAAUUUGUGCCAGCAGCCGCGGUUAUACAAAUAAUACAAAUAAAUCUUAUUAGUUUAAGUUAAAUUGAUAAUUAAAAUAGAUAUAAAUUUAUUAGGUGAAAUUUUAAAUUUAUUUAUUUUUAACAUAAAAAUUAAUUGAAGCUUGAAAAUUUUAAUUAAAAACUAGGAUUAGAUACCCUAUUAUUUAAAAUGUAAAUUUUUACUAAAGUAGUAUCAGUUAUGUUCUUGAAAUUUAAAAAAUUUGGCGGUAUUUUAGUCUAUUUAGAGGAAUCUGUUCUAUAAUCGAUAAUCCACGUUGGACCUUACUUAGUUUUGUUUUCAGUUUAUAUACCGUUGUUAUAAGAAUGUUUCAUAAGAAUAAUAAUUUUCUAUAAUUUUUAUUAAAAUUUAUAUCAGAUCAAGGUGUAGCUUAUAAUUAAGUAGAAAUGGAUUACAAUAAAAAUAUUUUUGGAUAUAAGUUUGAAAUUAAUUUAUUGAAAUUGGAUUUAAAUGUAAAAUUAUAAAGAUUGAUGAUUUGAUUUUAGCUCUAAAAUAUGUACACAUCGCCCGUCGCUCUUAUUAUUAAGAUAAGAUAAGUCGUAACAUAGUAGUUGUACCGGAAGGUGUAUCUAGAAUG
rnacentral:ncRNA from 1 species